rnacentral:rRNA from 1 species
AUUGAACGCUGGCGGCAUGCCUUACACAUGCAAGUCGAACGGCAGCAUGAUCUCGCUUGCUAGAUUGAUGGCGAGUGGCGGACGGGUGAGUAAUACAUCGGAACGUGCCUAGUAGUGGGGUAUAACGAGUCGAAAGAUUAGCUAGUACCGCAUACGACCUGAGGGUGAAUGUGCGGGACCGCAAGGGCUCAUGCGAUACGAUCGGCCGAUGUCUGAUUAGCUAGUUGGUGAGGUAAAGGCUCACCAAGGCGACGAUCAGUAGCUGGUCUGAGAGGACGAUCAGCCACACUGGGACUGAGACACGGCCCAGACUCCUACGGGAGGCAGCAGUAGGGAAUUUUGGACAAUGGGCGAAAGCCUGACCCAGCAAUGCCGCGUGUGUGAAGAAGGCCUUCGGGUUGUAAAGCACUUUUGUCAGGAAAGAAAUGGCUCUGGUUAAUACCUGGGGUCGCUGACGGUACCGAAAGAAUAAGGAACGGCUAACUACGUG